GUCUGGUGUUGUAGUAGGUGCUUGAUGGUGAUAUGUGCUGUAUGGGAUAGGCCUCUCCCUAAGCAUAGUGAAAGGGUGCUGUUGUGCUCAGGCAGACUGUUCUUGCUAAUGAAGUAAACAAGAUUAGAAGGCGAAGGAAUGAGGAGACAAUAGGAGCCAUAUAAGGAAUUGUGAAUGGCACUCAUCAUGAAAGGCAGUCUAUACAGGAUAUUUCAGAAUUGAUCCUCUCUUCAAGCCUCUGAUGCCAAAAAUCAGUGGCCAGCAUACAAGAGAAAUCUGGAUAAGAAAAAUACUUUGCUCCCUUCCCUGACUUGGGACUACUCAUUGCUGCAGCUGUUCACCAUCCCACAGUUUUUCCCCAAAGCAAUUUGUGGAACUACUGCAAACCAGAUCAUGAAAAUGGAACAAGUUACAGGUCUACAAAAUGUCUUAGGUGUUGUCAGCUAGUUCUUCUUGUCAUAUACCAUGUGGGACCUUGCUAUGGUGUUGCUUCAUUAUUCUGAUGCUGACUGAUGUGGACUCCUGUGUCUGUCUGCGGCUGUUCUGUUACUGUACAACACUGUCCUUUGCCCCUUGCUGAUGACUGCAGCUCUGCCAACCUGACCCUCAGCUGCUGCACUUCCAGCCACCCACACUUCUCAUCCUAGGCAUGAGAGAGAUGAAGUGCAAUGCAGCAUUGGAACAUGGAGCGAUCACAAUCAGACAGUGUAUACCUGAAGUGUCACUGCUGGGCUCUCACCUGCUAUGAACCAGUAAAGCUUGGUGUCAAAUAUUUUUAUAGUAUUUACUCUCAAACUAAAUUAAGAUGGCAUGUAUAUGCAUAUUAAGAUAGAUAUCAGUAGUAUUUUUAUACAUACUAAUUUUAACUUUAGGAAAAGACAUUGGAAGUUAUGGGCGGCAUUAUAGAAAGGUUUUCAUAUUUAUUACUCUAAAACUUCAGAACUGCAGCUUUAGAAUUGCGUUGUAGAUUUAAUUUCAGAAAGUACAGUUUUCUUAUAGAAAGGAUCUAGCUUUGGAAGGAUUUUUCAAUAAGUUUUUGGAAGCUUAAAACAAUGGUAAUCCAAAAGACCUACAGAGAGAUCUUCUCUUGGAAGUGUUGAGACUACUGCAAAAAUGUUUCAACAACUGCCCCUAAGAAGUCUCUGUGGAUAACUUCUGGGAAAGGCGAAAUGCAGGAGCUCAGUCCAGACAUCUUUGAACAUGGUUCAGAACCUAUUCAUGGUUAACCACUGUAUAUUCAGAACAAUUCCAAUGAGCAGUCUUCCAACACAUUUUGCAUGGACCAAAUGAAACAGCAGCUUGUUUUUUGUUCCUUGCCUCUUA
ensembl:lncRNA